UUUGAUCUUUCUAGAUUGCUUAAGCUGAUUAUUCAUUCUGUAAAUAAAGGAGAAAGAUGCGAUGAUUCAACACUUGACGCCUUGCAAGCUCGUUUGAGAAGCCUUUUGAAUGAUAAGAAGUUCUUGCUCGUCCUGGAUGAUGUGUGGAAUGAAAAUAAAGCAAAAUGGGCUGAGUUAAGAAAUUUGUUGAGAUCGACGGAUGGAUUUUCUCCAAGCAAAAUUAUUGUCACCACUCGGAGUUUGAACGUGGCCUCGAUAAUGAGUUCAAUUCCCCCGUAUAUUUUGAAAGGUCUCCCUCUUGAAGACUGUUUGACCUUAUUUACAAAAUGGGCUUUUGAUGAUGGUGAUGAGAGACAUUAUCCAAAUCUCAUUAGAAUCGGCGAGGAGAUUGUGAAAAAAUGCAAAGGGGUUCCUUUGGCAGUAAGAACAUUGGGAAGCCUACUGUUUCAGAAAACGGAUGAAUCUNNNNNNNNNNNNNNNNNNNNNNNNNNNNNNNNNNNNNNNNNNNNNNNNNNNNNNNNNNNNNNNNNNNNNNNNNNNNNNNNNNNNNNNNNNNNNNNNNNNNAAAUAUGGAGACUUGAACAACAUGAACACGAUAUUUUACCAGUGUUGAAGUUGAGUUACAAUCAUUUGCCAUCUCAUUUGCAACGAUGUCUUGCUUUUUUGUCCUUGUACAAAAAGGAUGAGAUCUAUUAUAGUGAUAGAGUUAUCUGUCUUUGGAUGGCAAAUGGACUCCUUGAGCGUCCAAAGCAAAAUCAAGAGUGGGAGGAUGUUGGCAAACGAUAUUUGAAUGAAUUACUGUCAAGGUGCCUCAUCCAAAUGGAGCAGGAUUUUUGGUUGUAUUUUACAUUCAAAAUGCAUGAUCUGGUACAUGAUCUUGCAUUAGAUGUGUCUCAAAAAGAAUGUAAAACAGUGAAUUCGGAAACAGAAACGGUUGAUGAAAAUGUUCGACAUUUAUUAUUCUGUGAUGAGAAGUUGGUUGGAGUUCCACGUGUUUUGGAGGAAAUGAAAAAUGUUCGAACAGUAAUCAUCCAAGAUGCUUCAAAGGAAUCAAAGACUACUCAUGAAUCACUUAUAAAUCUGUGUCUCUCCAACUUCAAGUAUCUUCGAGCAUUAGAAUUAAGGAAGUCACCAUUGAUGGCUUUACCAAAUUCCAUUGGUACCUUGAAGCACUUACGAGACCUUGACUUGGUCGGAUGUAGGAGUCUACGUGAACUCCCGAGGUCUUUCGAUAAGCUUCGCAGCUUGCAAUCGUUAAAUUUGGGAGAUACUGGUUUGAAGCAGUUGCCUGACAGCGUGCAAAGGUUGAUUGAGCUUAGACAUCUAGAAAUAACCAUUAAAGCUACGCAUUUGAAAGAAAUACGAGCAGGAUGUUGGACUUCUCUUCAAUACUUGGAAUUGAGGUGGUGUAUGGAAUUAGAAUGUUUACCUGAAGGAAUGCAGUAUCUGAAGUCACUUCGGACACUUGUCCUGAAGCACUGUGAUAGUCUUGUCUCAUUGCCACGGAGCCUGAAAUUCCUAACCAAGUUAGAACACCUUUAUAUAAAAUUUUGCAGUAGUAUGAAUUUGAAAAUGGAACCAGAAGAGGAAGAAGACAAAGACCUUCAGUUGAGCCUUAAAACUCUCACACUCUUCGGAUCACAUGCCUUAAGAGAUUUGCCACGAUUGCUUCUUCAAGGAUCUUCUUCCACUUUGCAGCAAUUACGAAUUGCGUUUUGUCCAGACUUGUCCGCUCUACCAGCAUGGCUACUGAAUCUCACUUCUCUUCAAAAACUUGAGAUUAAGGGUUGCUUUAAUUUGUGGGAUCUACCGGAGGGAAUAGACCGCUUCACCAACCUUAGAGAAUUGACAAUUGACGGAUGUCCGGAGUUAUGCAAAAGAUACAGAGAAAAUGGGGGUGAAGAUUGGCACGAAAUUGCUCACAUCCAAAAGGUUGAUAUUUACGAAUGAAGAAUGAGGUAUGUGGUAAAAUUUUAAUUUCUCUAUCAGAUUUGAUUUCAUAGUAUCUUCCCCUUUUAUAUGUUUAAUGUUCGUGAAGUACUCAUUGUGUUUGGAAACAUUGCAUGUAUGAAAUGUGAAGAUGGAGAUGGAUGAAUGAAGCAAAGGGUGAGGCUUUUACUUUAUUUGCAUUCAGAUUUCACAGUUGAGCUUUUUAUUUGGAUAUUUCAAAUGCCUUCAUGCUAUAGAUUGUAAUGUAUAAAAUUUUAUGCAUAUUUAUGUAUUCUCAUGGUUGGUUUGUCUUUAUAAUUUAGUAUAUAAAUAAAUUGGUUAUCCAAUUAUAAAAAAGUUACAAAAUGUAGGAGGUGCUAAAUUGAUUAUCCAAUUAUAAAAAAGUUGUGCUAAAUUAGUACAUUUUGAUUUGGUAAUUAUAACUAUAGCAUUGGUAGGUUUUUGAGCAGGUUUAUAAUCACCAAAAUGUAUCUUAGCUCAUUUCCAAAUCUUGAUUUUGUAAUGACCAUCAAAAGAUUUAUUUUUGAGCUACACAGUUUAGCACAUAGCUGUGUGUUACACAUGGGUUGAUGAUAUGAUCGUGUGACCUAUAGAAAUUAAGAUUCUUUUGAACCACACAGUUUUCGCUUGUUGCACGGGCUGACGACAUGCCCGUUUGGGUACUGUAGGUCAAGUUAUAUAAUUUGUACAUGGUCACAAUUAAUUAUACAAUUUAAUCACACGGCCGUGUGAUUUUUGGAGAAUUCUUAUAUUUAGGUCCACACGGUUACAAUGAGUUCACAUAGUCUAGAUACAUGGUUAUGUGACCCUUGUUUGUUGAAGUUUCAAUACUUUUUGCUAAAUUUUCAAUGAAGUCUUUAGUUGUUCCCUUGUAUAUUCCAAAUAUAUAGUUUUUUUUAGAAUAAUGGAUUAAUGUAAAUUUGACAAACUAAAAAUAAUUUAAAUUAAAUAUUAUUAAAUAAUUUUAUAAAAUUAUUAUAUUAUAUUAAAUAUAAAUAUAAUUAGUAAAUAAUAUAUAAAAACUAGUUUUUUCACCCGUGUGAUUCACAGACUUACGGUAUAAAUUAAUUAUUUUUAAGAGUUAUAAAAUUCUAUAAAAAAUAAAUAUAAUAAAUUAAUUAAUAAGUAAAUUUAAACAAUUUAAAUGUGCAAAUGGUAAUAGUGAUUAUGGUUAUAAAAUAAUCAUUGCACCUUUAAUUAAUAAUAGUGUAAAUUAAUACUUAUAUAUAGACGUAUGAGUUUAUUAUAUUUAAAUUAAAAUAUUUGUAUUUAUAAAAUAUUUACAUAUAUUAUAAAUUAGUACAUAUAUAAAGAUUUAAUUAAUUCAUAUUUUUUAUAUAAAAAUAUUUACGCACUAUAAUUUUAGUGUAUAUGCUAAGAUUUAAUUAAAUUUAAAUUUAAAUUUCUAAUAAAAAUAAAAAUAAAAAUUAUUUUUAAUAAAAAUAGUAAAAAACAUAUUUUUAUUUAUAUGGUAAAAUAGUAAAGAAAUGAACAUUCAUUCAUAAGGUGAAUGUGAGUACGGGAGUAUUCUUUAGCAAAUGUGAGGGUAAGUGUGAGUAUAAGAGAGUUCUCUAGCUAGUGUGAGAAUAAAAAGUGAUAUAUAAAAAUAUAUUUUAAUUAAUACGAUAUUAAAAUUAACUUUUUAAAUAAAAAUAGUACUAAAAUUAACUUUUUUUUAUGAUAAAAGUAAAGAAAUGAGUUAUGAGAAUAUUCUUUAAUUAAUGUGGGUUAAAAUUAAAUUUUAAUGAAAAAGUGAAGAAAUAAACGCUUAUUUAUAGAGUAAGUGUGAGCUUUGAUUUUCAAAAUUGAUGAGGAUUAAAUUGCUAAAUUUUUUUGAGAAUGAUCAAUUUUGUCAAUAUUAGAAUUGAAAAGGAGUGGAGAGAUGUUUUUACCAAUCUACAUAAAAAUUGAAAUUUAUCCUAUUGAGCUAUUAAUGAUAAUAAAAACAAUCAAUUAAACUCUUCCGUUAAUGGAAAUUGUUAGUAGAUCGGUUUGACUAUUAACAGUAAAAAAAAUUAAAACAUCAUUUUAAAAUUGAUAAAAAAUAUAUACAUCUAGAAUGAAUCUGGAUAAUAAUUUGUCCAUAUUCAUUCUAUAUGAGUGUAAAACUAUAAAAAUUUAAAAAUUAUAAAGAUUAUAAAAAAGUUUUAAAUAUGUAAAAGAUUAAAAAAAUAAAAAAUAAAAAUAAUUUAUAAAAAAUUAAUAAAAAUGCACAUUUAGAGUGAACUUUAGCCAUCCUCGAGUAUCUUCUUGUAAUGCCACAUGUUAUGUCGGGUGAGAGUAUAACAACACUAAUUGAUUAAAAUUAUAUAUAAUUGAAAAAAAAUAUUUAUUAUGAUUAAUUACUUUUAUUACUGAUAGAAAUUAAAUUACUCAAAAUUAUUGAGAAGGAGUGGAGAGAUGCUUUUACCAAUAUACAUAAGAAGCCUUUUGAUAUAUUGAGAUUUAAAUUUACUUGUGGGCUGUGCCGACAGGCGUUUGUAGUCCAACGGUUAGGAUACUUUCACACCAGAUAAAUUAUUGUUCAAGUUCAUUUAAAUUUAGAUAAUUAUUUAUCUAAAUUUAUUUUGUAUGAGUGUAAAAUUAUAAAAAAUUUAAAAAUUAUAAAUUUUAUAAAAAGAUUCAAAUAUGUAAAAGAUUCAAAAAAAAUAUUAAUAUUAAUAAUUUAUAAAAAAUUUAAUAAAAAACACAUUUAGAAUGAGCUUGAGCCGUCCUUGGGUGUCUUAUUGUAGUGCCACGUGUUGCGCUGGGUGAGGAUAUAACAACACUAAUCAAUCAAAAUUAUAUAUAAUUGCCAAAAUAAUAUUUAUUGUGAUUAAUUGCUUUUAUUUGUUACUUUUCAAAAUUGAUAGGGAUUAAAUUGCUCAAAUUUUUUAGAAGGACCAAUUUUCUCAAUAUCAAAACUGAGAGGGGGUGAAGAGAUGUUUUUACCAAUAUAUCAUGGGGGACAUAGAGACUAUUAAUAUAUUUAAAUUUUAAGUUUAACUUAUGCAGCAUCAGGGGUUUGUAGUCCAACGGUUAGGAUAAUUGCCUUCCAAGCAAUAGACCUGGGUUUGACUCCCGACAAACGCAGUUGGAUUUUUCAUUUUAAGCAAUUUCCUUUUUUCCUUGUUCUCCGAUGGAAUGAAGGUGGUAACUGGUGAGUGUUCGUUGGAUAACAGUCUGAUAACUAAUAGUUCAUAAAAUACUCCCUUUGAGAACGCAAGAUGCAAAUGUCCAUGAAUAUGCGGUCAAAGCAAAAGUAUAAGUGUUCAUUUUUCUCCAAGAACAUCUAUCCUAUAUCUAAAUAUAGAGCUAUAAUCUUUAUGAAAAUCUAGAAAAAGAAGUUGAUAUAUUUAUUGUACAAGCCCAUUUGCCCGGGCCCAACAAACAAAACAAAAUAGACCUAACUAUCCAAUUACGCCCACCAGCUCAAUAAGCCCAAAAUUUAAAAAGCCCAAUGCCCAUUUUCAGAAAAAAACAAAUCAGCCUAGGGUUUCAGAAACUGAAACCCUAGCCCCUAACUAAGUGGCGCCGCAAGCCUCUUCUGACUCUUAGUCUACUGGCCGCCGCCCUCUGUCGACAUGGCCCACUUGCACCGCCACGGUCACAUCCGUCCUCACCUGCCCUCUGCUACUGCCAGUCUCCUGCAAAUACACAACAAAAAUCAACAACAUAAGGGAAAACAGAGAUUCAUUGUGAUUUUCUUUUCUUUCGGCUAUAAAGCCGAAAUUGUAAAAACAAAGAAAGGGGGGAGGCUUCAUCACUGUAAUCGGGUCUUUUCCUUUUCUUUUGUAACAUUUUCACAACACAAUAGUUAAUGAAAAAAGGCAGAGAAAACAUUUAAAGGUUGAUUCAGACUUUUUAUUCUUUUUUUCUGUUCGUUUUUAUAUUUGUUUGUUUUUUUUAUAUACGAAUUUAUCUCAACAAAAACGAAAUAAAAAAGGAGAAAGAACCUUACCUGAAUCGUCUCGCAAGCGUCGUCGCCGGAGUCCUACUUCGGGUCACCGAAAUUGGGCGGGGAAGGCGGCGAUUUGAUUUUUCUCUCGCGACCCCGAGGCCAUGAAGACUUGGUCUUCAGUUGGUCCUUGAAGCAGGGUUUAAAAACCCGACGUUUGGGCUUCUGACCACCGCUCACGGCGGGGUCGACGGUGGCCCAUUUGGCCGGCGACGGGGGGGAGUUGAAAGAAGAAUGGUUUGUUUCUUUCUUUCUUCUGCAGUUUUUUUUUAAAGAAACCCUAGAAAUGAUUUUUUUUAAAGAAAAUUGGGUUUAAAUACCCUAAACAAAACGGCACCGUUUUAGCCCCUUCGACCCGCGCGGUGACCCGACCCAGAGGAGGAUCCGCGUGUUUUCCUUAAAUGGUAUAAUUGCACGCGCAGUCCCUCAAACUUUACAACGCGUUGCAAUUUGGCCCUUGUUUCGUUGUUUUCUGUUAUUUUAAUUUGGCCACAAAGUUUUAUUGUUGUUUCAAUUUAGUCCAUUGCAGUGCUGCGUUUUGGAUGUCUUGGUUUAUUUACUUUUUUGGUCCCUUUCCUCUCGGCGCACGUUGCAACUUAAUCCUUCUCGUUUUUUUUAAAUUCGCCCAGUAUCUUUAUCUCUAUUUCAAUUUAGUCCCUUUUUUAGUAAUUCUAUUAUUAUUAUUAUUAUUAUUAUUAUUAUUAUUAUUAUUAUUAUUAUUAUUAUUACUUACUUAUUAUUUAGUUUAGUUAUUAUUACUUAUAUUAUUAUUANNNNNNNNNNNNNNNNNNNNNNNNNNNNNNNNNNNNNNNNNNNNNNNNNNNNNNNNNNNNNNNNNNNNNNNNNNNNNNNNNNNNNNNNNNNNNNNNNNNNAAUUUUAGAUAUUAUUAUAUAUUUGCUUAUAUAUGUACAUACGUAUAUGUAUAUGUAUGUUUUCUUUUUGUUUGUUUUUCUUAACCUCUUUAAUAUAUACAUAAAUACUUUUUUUUAUAUGUAUAUCUAUAUAUAUGUAUAUCUCAUCUUCAUAAAUGUAUAUUUAUAUGUAUAUAAAGAUAUAUAUUCUUAUAUAUUCAUCAUAUUUUUAAAAAAUAUAUUGUUUAUAUGCUUUAUACUUUGUGAUUUGUAUAUAUACUUAUACUUACAUGUAUAUAUAUAUAUAUAUUUAUAUUUGAUUAUGGUUAUAUACAUGUAUGCGCAUAUGUGCUUAUGUAUUUUCAUGUAUAAUAGUUUCAAUAUGUGUACAUGCAUAUGCUUUUUUCAUAUUUUCAUAAUUUUAUACAUGUAUACAUGUCUUUUAUUGUUUUUAUAAUUUUGUUAGUCUUGUUCGUUUAUUUAUGUACAUGUUUGUUUUUCUUGCUUUAGUUUUUAUCUGUUUAUCAUUUUGUUCGUUUAUUUAUGUACAUGUUUGUUAUUGUUUUUCUUGCUUUAGUUUUUGCCUGUUUAUCAUCUGUCAUGAUGCCUGCCCGAUUGCUUUUAUAUUAGUCUUAUCACUUAUUUAUAUUUUGUUUUGCAUGAUUAUUUUACUUACAUUAUCAUCAUCAUUUCAUUACACCCAAUUUUUUUAGAUUUCAAGAAAGAAAUUUUAAAAAUAUAAGUAAUAUUCGAUAUUUUAAAUCUUCGAAAGAAUCGAGCCCUAACGUAUUGGGUUUCGAUUUUCUUCGUUGAAUCUAAAUAAUCGAGAUUACUCUUUUAAGAAUAAUAAUAAAAAGCUCAUUAUCGGGAAUUCAAUAUGUUAUGUCCUAACGCAUUGGAUAUGACACGCUGUUUUCCUGAUAUAAGAAUUUUUUCUAAAAAAAAAAUUCAAAAUAAGGCAAUAUUUUGCGUUUAGAAAUUCGAGAAAACAUGUCCUAAGGUGCUGGGUAUCGAUUUUUUUCGUUCAACCAAAUGGCUUAAUAUCUUUUUUAAAAAUUUCAAAAUAUGGCAAUGUUUUGCAUUUGGAAAUUCGAGAAAACAUACCCUAAGGUGCUGGGUAUCGAUUUUUCUCGUUCAACCAAAUGGCUUAAUAUCCUUUUUAAAAUUUUCAAAAUAAGGCAAUGUUUUGCGUUUGGAAAUUCGAGGAACGUACCCUAAGGUGCUGGGUUUCGAUUUCUCGUUUAACCAAGUUGCCAAAUAUCCUCUUGAAUUUUAAUUUAUGCCAUUCGAGUUUUUUUUUUGGAUCGUAUUUUAAAUUUCUUUAAAGUUUUCAGUUUUUUGACACUAAGGCAUUAAUUAAUCAACUAGGUACCAAUUUUGGGCGUAUCGAGGGUGCUAAUCCUUCCUCGUGCGUAACCGACUCCCGAACCCAUUUUUUUGAAUUUCGUGGACCAAAAUCGUUGUUUUAAUAAAAUUAAAUCGUUUAUUAAAAACAACCACUUUUUGAGGUGAUCCGAUCAUACCUCAUCAAAAAGGAUCGGUGGCGACUCUCAUUUUCGUUUUCAUUUUCUAAAAUCCCAGUCGACCCCGUUUUUCAUCCAAAAAAUAGUGUCAACAUUUAUAUUAGACAUAUACCAAAAUUAACUCUUGAGUGAAAAACUACAUUAGUCUUAACUUGAAUAAGAUGUUGAAAUGCACAUCAUUUUUCAGUUAAUGAAAUCAUUAUAUUUUCGACUAAUGUAAUUUCUCGUUAACUUGAAAAAUUACAAUAAUUCAUGCAUUAAAAUUUAUGUAUAAUAUAAAUGAAAUAAAAUAUUUUAUUUUUAUAAAUUUUAUAUUUAAUUAUUCUAAUACUAGAUAUUGAUUAUUUAAGAUAUGUAUUGAUUGUCUAUCAUAUUUGAUCUAUCGAAAAACACAUGGCCAUGUGUAGUUCAGUAGUUGGUUGGAUUCUGUCAAAGGAAAUAGUAAUUAGAUUUGAAGCAGUUGAGGUCGUUAGUUAAAGUUGGACCCUUCUAGCUCGCAAGGCUAAAGAGCUAAAUUGUGGACGUGUUUCAUGAUUGUUCGUUCAGUAAGGAUUGAUUGUUAAAUAUUCUCGCAAUUAAUUUAAAAACAAUUUGAGUUUGAACAUAAUGAAAAAGAUCAAUAGGUUGAAAGUCGAAAAACAAAUUAGACUGCUAUUGUAAAAAAAUAUAAAUACAAUUUCAAUUAAAGUUUAUUAAUAUAAUGACUUGAUUAUAAUAAAAAAUAUUAAAUUUUCAUUGUGACUCAAACCAUUAUUUUUAAUCCGAUAAAGGUAGUGAUAGUUUUGAUGAAAUUAUGACGCGAGGGGGAGUGUUGGGGUUACUCUUUAUUAGACUUUUAACAAAAAGAUGAAAGUUUUGAUACAAGGUACGGAGCCAACAAACUGAAAAUAUGAUUGUUGAAAGAUUCACAUGAAUGCAAGGAUGAAUCUAGCUAAAUUGGGAGGGUUUGGAAAAAAUAUAGGUUCAAAAAAUAAGUUUAGACAAAAAAAUUGUUUAAAAAUUAGGUUGGAUCUCGAGUAAAAUUUUUUUAGCCCAAGCUCGGUUUGAUUUGAAUUAGCAAAAAGACAAAAGAAAUCUACUAUUUUCUUGUUAUCGCAUUGAUUUGUUACCAUUUUUUGGAUAGAAGAAAUCUUGUUUUAUUGCUAAUUUUAUUACUAUUUUAGAGGUAUUUUUUUAUUUAAGUAUAAAUAUUUUUAAUUUAUUUUCCAAUUUUUAGGAAACAUUUAAUUUACUAUUUUUAGUAUCUUUAAUGUAUUAAUUGUUUAGAUUUUUUUAAUAUGAAAAAAUUUUAAUUUUGCCACAUUGGAUUAAGCCUGAAUUUUAACAUUUUUAUUUAAGUCGAAUUUAGAUAAAAUAUUAAAUCUAAUUUUCAAAUCGAGCUUAAAAUUUUGACAAAACUUAACGCAAUAAAUAAAUCCAGCAAAUCACAUCCUAUGAGAGAGAAAUUGUAUUAUAUAGGAUAAAUGGUAAUCUAAGUUAGAGAAGCUUUUUGUGGAAAUUCAUGAAGCCAAUAACAGGGUGAAGUACACAAAGAAUGAAGGUGGUUGGAAAGGAAUCUAACAUCUUAACAAAAAGUUAAUAAAAUACACCAAUGUAAAUGUUAAUUAAUUAAAUACACAUCAACAACAAUUUUUUUAUUCUUCUUCAAAAAUAAAAUAUUAAUACUAGUACUAAAAAUUAAAGUAACAUUUGAUAAUUAUUAGUCUUAAGAUAUUAUUAAGAGUAUUCAAGGAUCUUGAAGCAUUAGUAUUUAUGAACAGUUAAAUAGAUUAAUUUUGUAAAACAAAAUGAAGAGUAUUAAUAAGGCAAAAUCUUAUUUUUCCUAAGAAUUUUAUAACCCAAAUUUGUUUAUUUCUUUAAUAAUUUUACUAUUUAUAUUUCAAAUUCAUGAAUAGUUGAUGUUACAUCUUUACAAAGUUACACUUCCCCCUAUAAAAUAUUCAUAGGUUUGAUAAUUUCUUUCCUACAAGAUUUCAAGGACCCGAACAAUAUGUUAGCGUUAGCAGGUUAAGUCACAGGCACGUCGAACAGGAAGGCUUGUUUUUGUUUUUUUCUUUUUUCGAAUUUCGGGCUACAACAAGAAGUUCUUUGUUUGAUUUCUUACCACAAAAAAAGAAGAAAAAGAGAAAAAAGGAAGGGUCUUUCUUGAAUGCUGUACUGCCUCUCUUCUUUCUUUGCUCUUGAAAUUCAAUUAUGGCGGAAACGUUUCUUUUCGAUAUUGCAGAAAGGGUUCUCGCCAAAAUUGUCCAUCUCUCUGUAGACGAAGUUCGCUUUGAAACAUUGCAUGUAUGAAAUGUGAAGAUGAAGAUGGAAGAAUGAAGGCAAGGUUGAGGCAGGCCACCCAAGACUUUUACUUUAUUUGCAUUUAGAUUUCACAGUUUAGAAUUGUAAUUCUAGUAACUCUAGCUUUUGCUUUGGAGAUUUCAAAUGGCUUAAUUGUAAUGUUUGUUUGACAUCUCAAAUGGCUUCAUGCUAUGCCUUGUAACUCUUAACUUUAUGCAUAUUUAUGUUUUCUCAUCCUUCCUUUCUCUUUAUGAUUACCAAUUUGGCUUAAUGCAUCAUUUAAUCUCUAAAAUAUACUAUUUUUUUUCACUUUGGUCCUUACAACUUUUUCUAGCCCAAAUUAGGGCAUAAUUAGAAACAUGUGUAUACAAAUGAAUGAGAUUACAUUUAUACAUAACCUAUUCAAUUAAAUCAAUUAUUAAUUGAUAAUUAGAUAAUUCAAUCAAUUAUGUUUGUAGUUAGACACAUGUAUAUACAAGUUUAUUUGUCUACAUUUUUACAUAGUAUAAUUUAAUUAAAUCAACAAUUAAUUGAUAAGUUCUAUAAUUUAAUCAAUUCAAGUAUCUGACUUAAUUCAUAAUUAGAGGAAUUUACAAGAUUAUAACCAUCAAUGGAGAAAUAUACAACUGAUAAAUGCUCCUAAAAUUACUUAUACACCAUGACAUAUACAUUCAUAUAUCUGAUUGAUUCAAUAAUGGUUUUACGAUUCAUCAUAUAUUUUUAAAUGACUUGUACAUCAUUAAUUCUACAUAAAUUACUUGAUUUACUAUUUAUUUUAAUUUAAUAUAAUAUUCUGAAAAGUUUAUAAAAUAAUAAAUGAUAAAUAAUAUUAAACUUGAUAUGAAAAGUGAUAAUACAUCCAAUUUACAUGUUUAUCACGCUUAAUUUUGAUAAAUUCUUGAAUGAGAUGCUACUAAUUUUAGACCUAUUAUUUGAUUUUUGAUUAGGUGUAAAAGCAAACUCGAAAAAUUAAAAAAGUCGAAAAUGCAAGCUGUUGUAAAAGUUGUGAGCUUUUAUUUUUGGAUUUAUUUGUAAAAUAAAUACUUUUAAUUUUAUUUUUAAAUAACUCUUCAAUAUUAGAUUGAUGAGUAUAAGUAGAAUUAAGGUUUUAGGCUAGGUACAAGGAAGGGAGAAUGGAAUGGAGAAUUGAACUUACUUCCUUGUUCUCAAUUCUGUUUUAACUCUUUUCUUUACUUGUGUAGUAUUGCACCAUUUACCUUUUUAUUUUAAGCUAAUAAAUAACCCUAUAGAUAGCGGUGAGAUCUAAACUUGCAUUUCAAAACUUUCGUUCCAGUGUUUAUUAUUUUUUCAGUUUAGGAGAUAAACUUCAUUUUCUCACAAAAUUAUAUUGGCAUCAAGUUAAAAAGAGUUUGUUGAUUCAGUAUUGAUAGGCAUACAGUUAGAAAUACUGAGUUGAUCGUUUAUCGUAUUCAAUCUACUGAAGAACACAUUGGCAUGUCUAAUUAAGUAGUUAGUUAGAUUCUGUUAGGAGGAAAUAGCAAUCAGUUUUGAAACGGUUGAGGCCAUUGGUUUAAGUUGAGCCAUUCUAGUUCACAAGGUUAUCAGAGUUAAAUCGUGGACUCGUGUUUCGUAGUUAUUCAUUCAAUAAAGGUUAGUUGUUAGACGUUCUUGCAAUAAAUUUAUACAUAGAAAGGUUAAUAGUCCAAGGCAUCCUCGAUUAUUAUAAUUGACUUAUCGAUCAAAGGAGAAGACUUGCUAUUAAGAUACUUAUCGUAAAUUUAAUCAUUUAUGAACUCUAAAUAAAAUACUUCUUAUACCCAUUAAAGCCAAACCAUGUAUUUAUCUAACUUAUAUUUAUUUUGGUAAAAGGAGACUUAUAUUUAUUUACUUUAUUCCUAAAACUUCAAAGAAGCCCCAUCUUUAUCUUUUAAGUUUCAAAAGGAGGUUUAAAUUUUAUUUUUACUAAAAAAACAUUUUCUCAAUCCAAAACAAAUAUUUAAAUUAUAUUACCAUAUAUAAUUUAUGAAUUUAAUUUAAAUAAUAUUUUUAAUCCAUAUACCUUUUAAUGGAUAAAUUAUCAAAAUUGUUAUUUUUGUUUACCUCAAGUUACAUUUUAGUUAUUAUUGUUUGAAAUGUUACAUUUUAGCCACUUACAUUAAUAUUUUUUUAACGAAAUCAUCACUUUACCGUUAAAAUUUGUUAUUUCUCAAACGAUAGUCCAAUAUAACAGUUAAAAUGAGUUUUAAAUGUUAACAAUAGAGUGACCGUUUUCUUUAUAAAAUGAUAACAAAAGUAACUAAAAAUAAUAUUUUAAACAUAAGUGAUUAAAAUGUAACCUAAAUUAAAUAAAAAUGUUUAUUUUGAUAGAUUACCUCUUUGUUUUUUUAAUUUAUCAACACAGCGUAGUUAAGUUACAGCCAAGUCAACUGUGAAGCCUAGUCAACAAUCAAAAGCAGAUAUUUGGCUGAAAAAAAUAAAAUCAUUAUUGAGUGCCUCAAUCAUUCAUUUGCCUUCCUUCCCCUCAAUCAUUCAAGCUUUGCUCUAGAAAUUCAAUUAUGGCGGAAACGUUUCUGUUCAAUAUUGCAGAAAGGGUUGUCGAGCAAAUUGUCGGUCUCACUGUAGACGAAGUUCGCUUGGCGUUUAAUGUCAAAACCGAUCUGAAAAAGCUGGAGGACACCAUGUUCAGCAUUAAAGCUGUGCUCUUGGAUGCCGAGCGGCAACAGCACCAAAAUGAAAAGCUGCGCCUCUGUAUGUGGAAGCUCAGAAACAUCUUUUACGAUGCUGAGGACGUUAUUGACAAUUUCAAGUGUGAAGCUCUCCGGAAACAGGACGCCAUCAGUCAUCCCGUCAUCAACAACUUAAAGGUGCGAGUUUUAGGUUCCUGUUGUUUGCCUCUUUCAUUCUCUUCAAAAAUGAGUCAUAAAAUCAAAGACAUCAAUCGGAGACUAGGCGAACUGGCCACUGAGUGGAACAGCUUUGCUCUAAGUCAGUGUAACGACAGUAGACAUGUUUUUCGCAGAGAGACCAUCUCUUUUGUGGAUUCUUCUGAUGUUAUUGGUAGAGAUGAGGAUAAAGAGAACAUAAUUAGUAUGUUGAUGAAACCAAGUGAGGAUCAAAAUGUCCCUGUCAUUCCCAUUGUUGGACUUGGGGGUUUAGGAAAAACCACGCUCGAUCAAUUAGCAUUCAAUGAUGAUCGAGUUACUAGCCUUUUUCCUUUGAAGAUAUGGAUCUGUGUUUCUGAGGAAUUUGAUCUUUCUAGAUUGCUCAAGCUGAUUAUUCAGUCUGUAAAUAAAGAAGAAAGAUGUGAUGAUUCAACACUUGACGCCUUGCAAGCUCGUUUGAGAAGCCUUUUGAAUGAUAAGAAGUUCUUGCUCGUCCUGGAUGAUGUGUGGAAUGAAAAUAAAGCAAAAUGGGUUGAGUUAAGAAAUUUGUUGAGAUCAACGGAUGGAUUUUCUCCAAGCAAAAUUAUCGUAACUACUCGGACUUUGAAGGUUGCCUCGAUAAUGAGUUCAAUUCCCCCUUAUGAAUUGAAAGGUCUCCGUCUUGAAGACUGUUUGACCUUAUUUACAAAAUGGGCUUUUAAUGAUGGUGAUGAGAGACAUUAUCCAAAUCUCAUUAGAAUCGGGGAGGAGAUUGUGAAAAAAUGCAAAGGGGUUCCUUUGGCAGUAAGAACAUUGGGAAGCCUACUGUUUCAGAAAACAGAUGAAUCUGAUUGGAUCUAUAUAGGAGAGAGUGAAAUAUGGAGACUUGAGCAACAUGAAAACGAUAUUUUACCAGUGUUGAAGUUGAGUUACAAUCAUUUGCCAUCUCAUUUGCAACGAUGUCUUGCUUUUUUGUCCUUGUACAAAAAGGAUGAGAUCUAUUCUAGUGAUAGAGUUAUCUGUCUUUGGAUGGCGAAUGGACUCCUUGAGCAUCCAAAGCAAAAUCAAGAGUGGGAGGAUGUUGGCAAACGAUAUUUGAAUGAAUUACAGUCAAGGUGCCUCAUCGAAAUGGGGCACGAUUUUGGGUUGGUUUUUACCUUCAAAAUGCAUGAUCUGGUACAUGAUCUUGCAUUAGAUGUGUCUCAAAAAGAAUGUAAAACAGUGAAUUCGGAAACAGAAACGGAUGAUGAAAAUGUUCGACAUUUAUUAUUAUGUGAUGAGAAGUUGGUUGGAGUUCCACGUGUUUUGGAGGAAAUGAAAAAUGUUCGAACAGUAAUCAUCCAAGAUGCUUUAAAGGGAUCAAGGACUACUCAUGAAUCACUUAUAAAUCUGUGUGUCUCCAAUUUCAAGUAUCUACGAGCAUUAGAAAUAAGGCAGUCACUAUUGACGGCUUUACCGAAUUCCAUUGGUACCUUGAAGCACUUACGAGAACUUGACUUGGUCGGAUGUUGGAUUAUAGAUGAACUCCCGAGAUCUUUCGAUAAGCUUCGCAGCUUGCAAUCGUUAAAUUUGGGAGAUACUGGUUUGAAGCAGUUGCCUGACAGCGUGCAAAGGUUGAUUGAGCUUAGACAUCUAGUAAUAACCAUUACAGCUACUCAUUUGAAAGAAAUACGAGCAGGAUGUUGGACUUCUCUUCAAUACUUGGAAUUGAGGUACUGUAUGGAAUUAGAAUGUUUACCUGAAGGAAUGCAGUAUCUGAAGUCACUUCGGACACUUGUCCUGGGUGGUUGUGUUAAACUUGUCUCAUUGCCACGGAGCCUGAAAUUCCUAACCAAGUUAGAACACCUUGAAAUAGUGAUGUGCCAUCGAAUCAAUUUGAAAAUGGAACCCGAAGAGGAAGAAGACAAAGACCUUCAGUUGAGCCUUAAAACUCUCUCACUCAUCGGAUUACUUGCCUUAGGAGAUUUGCCACGAUUGCUUCUUCAAGGAUCUUCCACUUUGCAGUAAUUACGAAUUAUGGAGUGUCGAAAUUUGUCCGUUCUACCAGCAUGGCUACUGAAUCUCACUUCUCUUCAUAAACUUGAGAUUGUGGGUUGCAGAAACUUUUCAGCUCUACCAGAGGGAAUAGACUGCCUCACCAACCUUAGAGAAUUGAGAAUUCACGGAUGUUCGGAGUUGAGCAAAAGAUACAGAGAAAAUGGGGGUGAAGAUUGGCACAAAAUUGCUCACAUCCAAAAGGUUAUUAUUUGUUAAUGAAGAAUGAGGUGUGUGAUAAAAUUUUAAUUUCUCUGUCAGAUUCGAUUCCAUAUUAUCUUUCCGUUUAGAGUAGAGUAGAGACGUGGCUUUUGUCCAGAAUAGUCCGUUCUAACAGCAUGGUUUUGGUUGGAAAUUUUGUAUGUUUAAAGUUUGUUAAGUACUCAUUGUGUUUGGAAACAUUGCAUGAAUGAAAUAUGAAGAUAGAGAUGGAAGAAUGAAGCAGAGGUUGAGGCAGGGCAGGGAAGACAUUUACUUUAUUUGCAUUUGGAUUUCAGUUGUAAUUCUAAGAAGUGAGCUGUUGCUUUGGAUAUGUAUCAACUUUUAGCUUUAUGCAUAUUUAUCUUUUCUCUUUAUGGUUUAGCAUCAACUAAUUGUGUUUGUAUUUUUUAGUUUAAUUUUAUUAAUUGUUUAUUUUGUGAUGGAGAAAUGAUGCGGUUGUUAUAAAAUUAAUAUUAUAACAUAUUUAAUUUUUAAAAAUUACAUACUUUAUUGAUUCGAUCAUGAUUAUAAAAAAAAGUAAUUCUAAAGAAUUAAAAUAUAUUUAUAAAAUUUAAAAAUACAAAUUACAAAAUAAAAAAAUAAAAAAAUGUUAUUCUUACAUAUUAAUAAUUUCUUUUAAAAUUUUAAAACAUAGUUUGUAACUUGAAAUUUUUAACCCCUGAAUAUUGACAUCAACAUUGUUUCUUUUUUUUUUUUUGAAAUUCAAAAAAAAAAACAUUGUUUCUUUUUUUUUUUUUUUACUCAAUGCUUUGCUUGGUAGACCAAAAAAUAAAUAAAAAUUGAAGUGGUAGAAAAAUUGAAAAAUAUAAAUUUUCUGGUAGGAAAGAAAAUUUGAUAGAAAAUGUAAUUAUCUUUCUAACCAUUGCUUAGUAGAGUUGAGAAAUAACAAGAAAGAAAACAAAAUAUUUAAAAAAAUGUAUAAUUUUGAAACUAACAUACACAUAUCUCUCUCAUUUUCUCUCCAUUCAUCAUUCCAAUUUGAAAGAAUUAAUUUUCCAUAAAAAGUACCAAGGAUCUAAGCAUUAUGAAAGUAUCCACAUUCGCAUUGGUUUUUUUGUGAAUAUUAAACACAAUUUAGUUGGUUUAUAUGGAACAAAUUGCCGUUAUUUUUAAGCUUGUCUUAAUCUAUAAUAUAUAUAAAAGUAAGAAUUUAAUUUUUUUUGAAUCGACGAUAAUAUCCUUUAAUGUUCAUUUAAGUACUAAAUAAGCAUUAAAUAAAUAAUUAUUUUUUUAAAAAAUAAUAGAAUUUUUCUUCAUUUGAACUAUAUGGUUAAAAAUAUUAGAUAAAAUCAUAUCAAUAAUUUUUUUAUCAUAGAGUUCUUAUUGGUUUGAGUUACACAGUUGAGUAUAUUAAUUAUUAAUAAUAUAUAUUAUAUUAAAUCAGUUACCAUUUAAUUAGUGUUACAAUUAUAUUAUCAAUUUAACUUAAAUUUAUCAUUAUAAUUAGCAUUCAAGGGAGAAUAUUAAAAUUAGUAAAUUUGAAGUCUCAAAAAUAAUAAAGUUUCUUUUCUCCUUUUUCCAUUAGUUGGUUUGAAGAAUGAUAAUGGCAUUAAACCGAAUAAGUCUCUGAAACUAAUCCGAGAUCGAAUAAUCAAUAGCUAUACCAAUAUAGAAACCAAGAAAAUGCAUAUUCCUCAGUUGUCAAUGAUUGAUAAAUGAUUAGUACACGAAGCAACAAAGAAUGUCAUGAUACUGUCAGUAAUGUUUACCUGGCAUUUUCUUAUCUUGAUUGUCUUCAUGUUCAUCGUUAUCACUCGCAUCACCGGUUUGCUUGGAUGCUGUUGAAUCACGAGGUAGUGGUCCGGUAAUUGACAGCUGAUAAAGAACCCCUACGGACAGCGUAAAGAGGAGGCACGUGUAAUGCCACGUGUUAUGUCGGAUGAGGGUAUAACAACACUAAUUGAAUAAAAUUUAUAUAAUUGACAAAAAAAUAUUUAUUAUAAUUAAUUACUUUUAUUUGCUGAAUUUUAAAACUGAUAGAAGUUAAGUUAGUCAAAAUUAUUGAGAAAGAGUGGAGAGAUGCUUUUAACAAUAUACAUAAGAAGCCUUUCUAUAUAUUGAGAUUUAAAUUUACCUGUGGAUUGUGCCAAUAGGCGUUUGUAGUCCAACGGUUAGGAUACUUUGAUAGUGCGUUUGUAGUCCAACGGUUAGGAUACUUUGAUAGUGGAUAAAUUAUUGUUCAGGUUCAUUUAAAUUUAGAUAAUUAUUUAUUUAAAUUUAUUUUAUAUGAGUGUAAAAUUAUAAAAAAAAUAAAUAUUAAAAAUAUUAAAAAAAGAUUCAAAUAUGUAAAAGAUUCAAAACAAUAAAAAUAAAAUAUUAAUAAUUUAUAAAAAAUUAAUAAAAAAACACAUAUAGAAUGAACUUGAGCCGUCCUCGGGUGUCUUCUUGUAGUGCCACGUGUUGCGCUGGGUGAGGAUAUAACAACACUAAUCAAUCAAAAUUAUAUAUAAUUGCGAAAAGUCUAUUUAUUGUGAUUAAUUGAUUUUAUUUGUUGCUUUUCAAAAUUGAUAGGGAUUAAAUUGCUCAAAAUCUUUUAGAAGGACUAAUUUUCUCAAUAUCAAAAUUGAGAGGGACUGGAGAAAUGUUAUUACCAAUAUAAUUGGGGGACAUAGAAAGCCUAUUAAGAUAUUUAAAACUCAAGUUUACUUGACAGCUGCAGCACCAGGCGUUUGUAGUCCAACGGUUAGGAUAAUUGCCUUCCAAGCAAUAGACCCGGGUUCGACUCCCGGCAAACGCAAUUGGAUUUUUUCAUUUUAAGCAAUUUCCCUUUUUCCUUGUUCUCCGAUGGAAUGAAGGUGGUAACUGGUGAGUGUUCGUUGGAUUAAAAGAUGAGAGAGCCAUUUGCCUACCAACACCAAUCACACACAAAGAAACAUUUGUGAUACUCAAAAGAGUGUGCUAAAAUCCGUGGUAGAACCCCCUACCCCUACAUAUCAAGCCUUUAAACAAUUUAUCCCUUUUUUUUUUUUUAUUCAUCAAAGCUUCACCAUUAAAUUUCUCUAAGGGAAGAUGAAAAAAAAAAUAGGGAAUGUGAAAAAAAGGCUGAAUAAUUUACGUAAUAAUUUUCAAAUUUAAACAUCAAACUAUAGUUGCUCUUACUCUAAAGUUUUCUUUAGGUACUUCAUAUUAGCAUCCGGAUACAUGAUAAGUUUAUAGUAAGUUAUGUAUCAUGUUUUUAGAGAAAAGUCAUGAAUAUUAGAAUUAGUCUUGAGAUAUAAAUGUCCGAAUCACUUUCAACUUAUGAGUUACUUUUUAUGGACAAAAUCGUAAAACCAAAUAGUUUGAAGAAAAAAAAUACAUUUUCCAUCAUGACACUAUAGCAUAAGGUUAUCUUUAGUAUAAUUUUUUUCUUCAUUUCCCAUAACAUUUUUCCAUAAAUUGGUAUUAAAAAUGAAAAUGAUAUUAAAUCAGACAAAUGCCAUAUAUGAAAUGAAACAACAAAGAAUACCACAGAUUUUAUUAAAUAGUGAAAAGGGCUAAUCAUGUUUUUAGAUUAAGGUACUUUCAUAAGUAUGAAGUAUACUAAAGAUUUCGUAAACUCUGAUAUUCUUCUUUAACGUGGCUUAAACAAAAACAUGUUUAUCAAACAUUUUUCUUAUCUUAAUUCUCUUCAUAAUCAUCAUUAUCAUUCAAUUUACCUUGAAUCGCAAGAUAACAGUCCGAUAACUAAUAGUUGAUAAAGUACUCCCUUUGAGAAGGCAAGAUGCAAAUGCCCAUGAAUAUGCGGUCAAAGCAAAAGUAUAAAUGUUCAUUUUUCUUCAAGAACGUCUAUCCUAUACCCAAAUAUAGAACUAUAAUCUUUAAUGACCUUCCAAAUAUAUCAAAAUUUUGAUAAAAGUAAAUGUAACUUAUGAAAAUCUAGAAAAAGAAGUUGACAUAUUGAUUGUAACAGUCCGGUUUUGACCCUAAUCAGUGUUGACACCAUUUUUUUUGUGAAAACGGGGUCGACUUGGAUUUUGAAAACGAAAAUGAAAAUGGGAGUCGCCAUCAAUCUUUUUUUAUGAGGUGUGAUUGGGUCACCUCGAAAAAUAGUUGCUUUUAAUAAACGGUUUAGAUUUAUUAAAACAAUGCUUUUGGUCUGCGAAAUUCAGAAAAAAAAUGGUCGGGAGUCGAUUACGUACGAGGAAGGAUUAACACCCUCGUAACGCCCAAAAAUUGGUACCUAGUUGAUUAAUUGGUGUCUUAGUGUCGAAGAUUUGAAACUUUGAAGAGUUUUAAAAAUACGAUCCUAAAAAAUCUGUAUAAAUCAAAUUACCCGUUAAGGCCCUCUCAUUUCGGAGAGAGAAAAUGUCACACCCAAUGAGUUAGGGCAUUAUGUUUCACCUCCUCAAAAAUGAGCUUGUCCAAAAAAACUCACGCAAUAAAAUUUAAAAGGAUAUUCAAUUGUUUAAGUCAGAUGAAAAAAUCGCAACCCAAUACAUUAGGGCACAAUUUCUCAAAAUUCUAAACAUUGAAUAUUGCUUUUUUUUUUUUUUUAAAUCCUCAUCUCGAAAAAAAAUGUGUCAUAUCCAAUGCGUUAGGACACAACGUAUUGAAUCCCCGACAAUGGGCUUUUUAUGUUAUUAUUAUUAUUAUUAAAGAGCAUUCUCGAUUAUUAGAUUCAACGAAGAAAAUUGGAACCCAAUACGUUAGGGCUCAAUCCUCUCGAAUCUAAACACGAAAUUUUGCUUAUUCAAAAGUUGAAACUUUUGCGUCGAGAUAAAUUAAUCUAAUUUGGAAUAGUGGAAAUGAAACACGAGGUAAAUAUGCGUACAAAGCAAUAUUAAAUGCGAUAGUAAAAAAUAAUACAAGCAACAACAAUAAAAAUGAAUGGAUAAAGAGGACAAAUUAAUAACAUGUAGAAUAACAAACAUAUGAACAAAUUAGAUUGAAAUAUUCUCUUAAAACUAAUAAUGAAAACAUGAAUAAAUAAUUAAAAUGAACAUGAACAAAGUGAUAAAAAUAUUAAAAUAUAAAUAUGUACAUAUAUAUGUAUGUGGAAAUUAUAAAAUAUAAAAACAAGACAACAAGGAUAUACGUAAAAUAUAUAAAUGAUGUAUGUGUAUAUAAAUUAUAAAAUAAAAAAAUAUAUAAAAAGGGCACUUUUCAAAAUAUAAAAAAUAUAUAAAUAGGUAUAUAUAUAUUUAUGAAAAAGAAGAUGUGUAUGUAGGUAUAUAUAGUCGUGUGUAUAAAUUAUAAAACAUAUAAAAAUAUAAAAAUAUGUAUAUAUGCAUGUAUAUAAAUAGGUUAUACAUAUGCAUAUUUUAAAAAUUGUGAAAUAUAACAAAUAUAUAUGUAUAAAUAUAAAUUAUAAUAUAUGUACAUAUGUGUAUUAUAAAAUGUAUAUAAGUAUACGUAUAUUUUAAGAUUAUAAAGUACAUAUAAAAAGAAUAUAUUUAUGUAUAUAUAUUUUAAAGUUAUAGAAUAAAAAACGUAUGUGUCUGUAUAAAUAUAAAAACAUAAAAUAUAUGUGCGUAUAUAUAUAUGUAUGAGUAAUUAUAAUAAUAAUAAUAUAAUAAGACAAAUAUAUUUACAAUUUUCAUAAAUAAGUAUAAAUGGAGAUAUAACAAUAAUAACAAUAAUAUUGAUAAUAAUACUAAUACUAAUACUAAUAAUAAUAAUAAUAAUAAUAAUAAUAAUAAUAAUAAUAAUAAUAAUAUAUUAGUUUUAAUAAAAAUAUAUGAUAAUAAAAAUAAUAGCGCAUAUUAAAAUAACGUAUAUAUAUAAAGAUAAAUGAAAAUAUAAAUAAAACAAAAAUUAAUAGUUAAAAGAAAUAAAAAAUACGAAAGGGAUUAAAUAGAAAUCAGAAAUAAAUUUAAGGGUGAGAAAACGAAACUAAAUAUUGUUUGGGGAUCAAAUCAGGAAACGCACAGAAAAGAAAGGACCAAAACAGUAAAUAUCCCGGUCCAUUCUAUACAUAGCGUUUCAGUAAGGACCGAAUUGAAAAUACAAGGAAAAAACGGGGUGAAAUUGCAAAAGUGAAAGAUAUUCAAUUGAAAACGCAAAGAAAAGCGGAAGGACUAGGGUAGCAAUUAUACCCUAGUCACAAAACACGCGGAUCUUCCUGGUAAACGGGUCAGGUCGAGUCAAAUGGCCUCAAAACGACAUUGUUUUGAGGCCGAAUGAAACAGGCCAAAACAGCGCCGUUUCAGAGUCUUUAAAAACCCUAAAAAAAAACCUAAUUACAUUUUAGCAGCCUCAACAAUAAAAAAAGGACAGAGAGCCUCCACCUCUUUUUGGCCCCCCGAACUCCGGCGCCAACCUCAACGGCGGUCCACCGUGUGGCCACCGUGGCCAAGGGCCGACGCGGCUCGAGAAGGUCCCCUUUUGACCGGGUCCAAAAAUAAACCCGAAGAUUCGGGUUUUCGACCCCCAAAACUAAAAAGGAAGGCCCUUAACCUUCUCCCUUUUUUAUUUUAUUAAUAGUUUUUUUAAAAGAAAAAACUGAUUUAAAAAGAAGAAAAAAAUGAUAAAAUAAAAAAAUCGAAAAACAGUAACCUUUGCUUUUAUUUCUGAUGUUUGUUCUCUUAAUAUUUGAUUCUUGAUGUCCCUCAAUUACAUUCAUUUGUUUGGCUUUUAUAGCCGUAUUACAUUGUUCUUGUGCUACUGCUUUUUCUCUGUUUCUUUCUCUGCUUUUGUCUUUCUCUUUUCUUGCAGGUGGUGGAGUCAAUGACGAUGGAGGGGCAGAUCCCCUUGCUAUUUUGGUGAAACAUCGACAGAGAGGGUCAGGCCUCGGGACGAGACGAGAGCGGAGUGCCCAAUGAGGAGCGGCGCACAUGGGAGCUAGGGUUUCUGAGAAUGAGUUUAGGUUGUCGGCCAACGGGCCGCUUAAGGUUUUGUUAUUUUGGGCUAUUUGGGCCUCUUUUGUAAAUGGACUUUUUUAUUAGUUUUAUUUGGUUUUAUUUUAUUUAGUUUUUGGCCUUACAAUCAGAACAGUAGUUUUGGGACCAUAAAUUCGAGUCAGAAAAAUAUUUAAAUAUUAUUAUUUGUGUUUAUACUAUGUGAAUUUAUAUCCAUGAAAUUUUCAUGUUUUAAUUUUGUCGUUUGAGUGCUGAUUUAAUAAAAAUGUUCAAUUGCGUAAGAUGAAAAAGUUGAUAGUUAAAUAUGUAAGGGCCGAAUUGUUGAUGUCUUUAUAGCAUGAGGUAUUUAUGAUGCAAUUAGACCAUUUAAUUCAUGCAUGGACACUUUUGGACAUGAGUUAGUGGAAAUGGAAUAAAAUUAUAAAGGUUAAAAAUGAAAAUAAAUAAUUAUAUGAUAAUUAAAUAAAACAAAAGCAUAAAAUAAAGCCAUUAUCAUCUUUGUUGGCCGAAUAUAGCAAAGAAAGAAAAUCAUCCAUGGCUUUUUAGGUUUUGGCUACUAUCAAGCUUAAUUCAAGAUUUGUUUUUGCUCGGUUUUUGAUAAUUUUUACGUUUUUGAGAUCGUUGCUAUGAAAUCUGUAAAGCCCAUGUUGUAAUUUUUUAAUUUGAUGAUGAUUUUGUGUUUUUCUAUUGAUGAUAGCUUGUGAUUUUUGUUAUUUGUUGAUAGAAAAUAAAAGAUAUGUGAUAGAUUAUAAUGUUUUGUCUUUGGAUUUUUGAUAAAUUUGAGUAAUUUGGGUUAAAUUGUGAAAAUAAUAUUUUGAGGGAUUAAAAUGUGAAAUAAAUGAAAUGCAUGGACUUUUAUGAGAAUGGUGAAGAUUCGGGCUAAGCAUGAUGUGUGCAAAAUUUGCAUGUUUUGUGUUUUGUGCAAUCUGGACUAAAUUGUAAAAAGUGUUAAAUGUUAGGGGCAAAAUGGUAAUUUGUCCAUUUAUGUGUUUUUGGGUGAAAUUGAGUGGAAUAAUAUUUGAAUGAGUUUAAUUUGAAUAUGUUUAGAUCAAGAACCAAAGAAAUUGGAUUUGGAUCGGGAAAAAACAAAAAUAAUCGAAUAGUCGUUUAUUUCCGUCCGUCGAUAUCCAAGGUAAGUCUAUAGCAUAUAAAUGCUGUUAAUUUUGAAUAUAUGUAAAUUUUAUAUGCUGAAUUGAAUUUUAUGAAUAUAAAUAUGUAUUGGCAGAAAGUGUAUAAGCUUAGGAAAUAUGGUUACGAGAUUGAUUCAAUUGAGUUACACCGUCCGAAAGUCCCAUGCGAACCUUAGGAAUAUUUAGGAUACAUAUGUCAUGAAAUAGAAUUUUGUUAUGUGUUAUCGUGUAAGACCACGUCUGGGACGUUGGCAUCAACUUGUGACUUACGUGUAAGACCUUUUCUGGGAUAGUCGCAUCGAUAUGUGAUUACAUGGAAGACCACGUCUGGGACGAUGGCGUUGUACGAAAUGUUCGAUUAUCCGAGUAUCCUUUUUAAUUUCGAAUGGUUCAACGGGCAAUAGUAAGUUAAGAUCGAGUGUAAAAUCGAGCUAGAAAGGAUCAGGUACGUACUCAUACUAAGUUAUAAAAAAAAUUAAGAUAAGAUGAAUGUUGAAUUGGUGGUAUAAUGUUAUAUGUUAAUGUGAAUUAUGUGAUAGUAUAUGUGAAUAUAUAUAUAUAUAUAUAUAUAUAUAUAUAUAUAUAUAUAUAUUUGGCCUAAUGAUGUAAAUGUAUUAUAAAAAGUAAUGGUUAAGUGUACUAAUAUUUGAAUGAGUAUUUGGCCAAAGGAGAAUUUAUGCAAAUUUUAUAUAUUUUGACUUAGGAAAUUAUAAGUUGGAAAUGUACAUGGAUUAUUAAUAGAUUAUUUCGAUUUGACUAGAUUAAUUUUGUAUAUGAUUAAACGUUUCCAUUGCUUAUGACUUACUAGGCUGUUAAAGCUUACCGUGUCUAUUUGCUCUUUGUUUUUUUUUUUAGAUUUUGAAGGUUGGUUAUGAGCUCGGGGAUCAUCAGAGAAGUCUCUAUCGACUCCUUUCGGUAUAUUAUUAAGUUGAAUUCGAACUUAUGGCAUGGAUAGGCUAGUUAUUAUACUUGAUUUUUGGGUAUGUAAAUAUGAGUCAUGCGAAAAUGGCUUAUUCAUUUUGGUUAAGCUUGGUUUUUAUGCUUUUGGUCUAAUGAAUAUAUAUAUAUAUAUACAUAUAUAUAUAUGAUGCUUAAGCUUAUGCAAAAUUUCGGUUAUGAUAUAUAAGUGUGAUGUGUUUGGCAUAUUUGUUAAUAGUUGUAUAAAUUAGCUAUAUUUGAGCCUAUUUCGAAAGCAAUAUGUGUAUCAUAGUUAUAUGAUGUAUUUAGUAUAUGCAUGAAAAUGUAGUCUCAAAAGUUGAUAUAAUUUUCUAUUAUUUGGUUUUGAUUGAAUAUGAAAUGAAUAGUCUUAUAUUACGGUUAAGUAAUGGGGAAAAUGAUGGAAGUAUUAUUGACUUAUGAUAUGUGUUAGUAAUUUCCUUGGAAUGAAUAUGCUAUGUGUAAUACUCAACUUUGCCCAGGGCCCAAUCUAAAACCCAAAAUAAAUAAACAUCAAAAAAUAAAACAAUAAACAGUCUAUUUUUACAAAUAACCCAAACCCAAAUGACCCAAUACCUAGCCCACUAACCUAAACCCUAGCCCAACUGCAAUGUGGUCCUCAACAAAAACACAACACAGCAGAAACCCUAAGCAGUGGCAACAAACCAGCGCCGCAACUGUCGCCCCUUUGCCUGCCUCCGUCGUAGCACCCACUCCGCGCACGUCGCGCACGUUCUCCUCCAGCACGUACCUGUAACGAACCACGAAUAGCAAAUAAUAACAAAAAAUAUAGCAAGAAUUAAGGGAUUUUUUUAUUUUUUUCUCUAAGAUUCGGCUAUAAAGACCGAAUGAUGAUUUUGUAAAGAGGGAGAGGAGUAGUAUCGAAAAGAGUAUUAAAAAUACAAAAACAGAGAAUCUAAAGAUUUUUGGAGGUGAUUUGUUUUUUAUUUUGCUCUUCGAGUUUUCUUCUUACUACUUAUAUAUACUUUUUGUUUCAUUUUUUAAAGAAAAUAAUAAAGAAAGAAAAUGAACGGCUUACAUGGCUUCGAGCACCGUUUGCGGUGGCUCCACGGUGGGCAUGGCGGCUGCCUGGGCAGGGUAUAAAACCCUAGCAGAGAACCCCAUUUCUCCUCUGCUUUCCUCUUAAAAGAAUGAAUGUUGUGGAGUGAGAUCUGAAAAGAAAGCAAAAGAGAAAUAGGGAGGAAGAAGAAGAAAUUAAGAGAAAUAGAAGAGAGAAGUCAGCAGAAGAAUACUUGCUUUUUCAUUUCAUAACCUCCCAUCGAUACUGUUUUGGUGUAUAUAGAAACCAACUAACAGAAUUCAACAAUAAGGUCUAAACACAUCGUUUUAGAAACAUCAUAAAAGGCACCGUAUAACUAAACUAAAACAAUUAUAAAAUGCAGCGUUUAAGACUCAAACAAUUAAAACAAUUAUAAUGAAAAUGUAGAUAAAAUGACCGUUAGCUGUUGCCAUAACAAUUGCCCCUCCUGCAAAAAUAUCCUUGUCCUCAAGGAUCAAACGUUGGAAAGCGUUGUUGAAGCUCCUGAAGCUUCUCCCAUGAAGCAUCCUCCGGAAAGGUGUCCGCCCAUUCGACCAGGACCUCCACAGCAGCAUGAUUCCCCUGUUUAACUAAAAGCCUAUCCAGAAUUCGCACGGGUGUCUUAAGAAGAGUGCCAUAAAACCCAAUCGGUGGAAAAUUUGAAGCACUCACCGCUGAGCCUAUAUGCUUCUUCAAUUGUGAAACAUGAAAAAUAGGAUGAAUACGAGCCGAUGAUCGUAGCGAGAGUUUGUAAGCAACCUAGCCGACUCGAGCUUCUACCGGAAAAGGUCUAAAAUAUCGAGGUGCUAACUUUUGAUUUUUAAACUUACGCAGGGAAUGUUGACGAUAUGGUUGCAGCUUCAAGUAAACCAAAUCGCUUACCUGGAAUUCACGUUCAGACCUUCGUUUGUCAGCCAUCUGUUUCAUCCGAUCUUGUGCCCGAGUGAGAUGGAACUUCAGAACCUUGCGCAUAGCCUCCCUAUUUUGCAAUGUUCUAUCCACCGUAGCCACCGGAGAAGCCCCCGCCACAUAUGGUAAGUGGAGAGGUGGUACUUGCCCAUAAAUAGCCUCGUACGGAGUAGUGUAGAUAGCCGAAUGAUAGGUAGUAUUGUACCACCAUUCAGCCAAUGGCAACCAAGCUGACCAAGUAGAAGGUUUCUCACCUACCAUACAUCUCAAAUACCCUUCGAGACCUUUGUUAAGAAUUUCAGUUUGGCCAUCCGUUUGAGGGUGGUAUGCCGUAGAUCGUUUCAAUUUGGCGCCCAUUUGUUUGAACAAUUCCUGCCAGAACGAACUUAGGAAAAUUUUGUCCCUAUUAGACACAAUAGACUCAGGAAUUCCAUGCAAUUUAUAAACAUGAGUAAGAUAUGCGUGAGCCACAGUAAGAGCAGUGAAGGGGUGAGCCAAUGCAAUAAAAUGACCAUAUUUGGUCAAACGAUCUACCACGACCAAGAUGGUCGAAUUACCCUGUGAUAGUGGAAGACCCUCAAUAAAGUCCAUACUGACAUCACUCCACGCCCGGUCUGGUAUAGGUAAGGGCUGCAAUAAUCCUGGUGAAGCAGAAUUUUUAGCUUUGCAACGCUGACAAAUAACACACUCACGUACCCAUUAUUUAACGUCCUUCGACAACCCUUUCCAAUACAAAUAUGCUAAAAUUCUAUUACGGGUGGCAUGGACCCCUGAAUGAUCUCCUAAGGCUGUGUCAUGGAAAAGACUAAAAAUAUGUCUUCGAAGUUGAGAAUCAUUACCGACCACGACCUUGCCCAACCGGCGAAGAAAUGUACCAUGCCAUGAAUAUUUUGGGUGCAUUUGAGGCUGAUUUCGAACGUCCUGACACAAUUGAAAAAGCUUCUCAUCUGUUGUGUAUGACUCAAUGAUACGCUCCCAUAUCGUGGACCAAUCCGGCUCAACAUUCCCCACACAUUGCAGCAACUGAGAAUCAGGGUCAAGGGGUUUCCUAGAUAACGCAUCAGCCACUGUAUUUUGAGCCCCCUUGCGGUAAACAAUCGAGUAAUCAUAACCCAACAUCUUAGCGACCCAUUUCUGUUGGAAUGGUGUAAUAGCCUGCUGAUCAAUCAGAAACUUCAAGCUUUGGUGGUCUGUUUUAAUAAAAAAAUGCCUUCCAAUAAGAUAAGAAUGCCAUUUUUUAACAGCUAAAAUUACCGCAAGCAUUUCCUUGUCAUAAAUGGAUAAAGCUUGAUAUUUGACGCCUAAUGCCUUGCUAAAAAAUGCCACCGGUUUACCCUUUUGUUGUAGGACAGCUCCCACCCCAUGACCGCUCGCAUCCGUUUCGACACAAAAGGGUUCUUGAAAAUUCGGUAAAGUUAAAACAGGCGCUUGACACACAGCUACCUUUAGUUGGUCAAAAGCUAUUUGUUCCACCUCUGACCAUUGCCAUGGAACAUUCUUCUUAAGUAAGGUGGUAAGGGAUGUGGCUAGAAGUCCAUACCCUCUGAUGAACCUUCUAUAGUAUCCCGACAACCCUAAAAAACCCCGCAACUCUUUAACUGAUUUCAGAAUAGGCCAAUCCAACACACCAUUUACCUUAGUUCGGUCCAUACUAACUGUACCUUUCGAUAUUACAUGCCCUAAAUAUUCCACCUGUACAACUCCAAAAAUACAUUUCGAUUGCUUAGCAUAAAGUUGAUGGGUCCUCAAUACCUGUAAUACCUCCUGUAAAUGAGUCAAAUGGUCUUUCCAUCCCCGAGAAUACACAAGUAUAUCAUCGAAAAAGACCAGUACUGAUUUUCUCAAAAAGGGUCGAAAAAUUGAAUUCAUAAGUGACUGAAAACUUGAUGGAGCGUUGGUCAAGCCAAACGACAUUACCAAAAAUUCGUAAUGGCCGGUAUGAGUUUUGAAAGUUGUUUUAUGCACAUCCUGCUCACACAUUCAAAUUUGAUGGUAACCCGAACGUAAAUCUAACUUGGAAAAGAAGUGAGCCUCCCCCAACUCAUCCAACAGUUCCUCGAUGAUCAGAAUAGGAAAUCUGUCUUUAACCGUCAAUUGGUUAAGCUGCCGAUAGUCUACACACAGCCUCCAACUACCGUCUUUCUUUUUAACCAUCACCACCGGAGACGCAAACGGACUAUUACUGUCUCGGAUAAUUCCAGCUUGCAACAUCUCCUGUAUGAGCUUCUCAAUGUCAGUUUUUUGAAUUACAGGAUAUCUGUAAGGUCGUACCUUAACCACCUUGGAUUCAUCCAUCAAAGGAUUUUUGUGAUCGUGUAACCGUGGAGGUGGUAAACUGGUAGGAGUUUGGAAAACGUCUUCAAAUUCAAUAAGCAGGCUACUUAGAUCGGAAGACAACUGCGUUGGACGCAUGGUCAAAGUGGUCUGCUCGCAAAAAGCUAAAAGCAUUGGGCAAGGGUCGUUACCCACUAAGCUCAGGCAUUUAGAUAGUUUUCGACUAGGAACAAUGUGCAUAGAACCCGGUACAGUACCACGCAAAGUACAGCUCUGUGCCAAAUGAGUAAACUGCAUAGUCAAGUUAGAAAAAUUCCACGCAAUUGAACCUAAAGAUAAUACCCACUGAAUACCAAGUACCAAAUCAAAACCCUUCACAGAUAGAACUAAGAAAUCCGUUGUGAACUUAUGUCCUUGUGCUUCCCAACCAACAGCCCUGCAUAGCCCUUGAGUACAUAGUCGGACUCCGUUUGCCACCAUAACUCUCUUAUUAGGACCCGAUUCUAAUGGUAACUCCAACCGUUUCGCCACCUUGAAGUCUAUAAAAUUGUGGGUACUACCCAAAUCCACCAAGACGAUCACUUCCAUAUGAUUAAUAACAGCAGGAAAUUUCAUAGUGCUAUGCCCUUGCAGCCCCUACAGCGCAUGUAACGACAGUACAUGAGUAGGACUCUCUAGAGCCUAGUCCACUGAAUCUAACUGCUACGGACAGUCUUGGAAGUCUUCAAGAGAAGGGCUCUUCGAAUCAACAUUAUAAUCCCCUAACAGCUCCACUACAAGUUGGUACACCUGAGAUUUUGAACACUUGUGGCCAGGUGAAUACUUCAAUCCACACCAAAAACACAAACCCUUUUUCCUCCUAUCUUCUAACUCCGCCUGGGAUAGGGAUUUUGAAGGAAUUCGUUGCCCCGGUUUACUAUUGUUCACAGGUUCCCCUGCUGCAACCACGUUUCCACCAUUACGCUGCAAUUUGGGUGUAGGGAAAAAAGACCUUGCUGUAUGAACUCCGCUACUAACAGGAGGCUCUUUUUUCAAAGACCCUAACACAAUGUUCUCCACUUGUCUUGCUAAGUUAUAAGCCUCCACCAAUGUUUGAGGUUUAAACAAACGGAGAUAUUGGCCAAUUUCAGUUUUGAGAUUACUAAUAAAUAUGCUUAACGCAUAAGGUUCUGGUAGAUUCAACUAAUUUAGCAGACUCAAGAAUCCAUCAUGAAACUGAUCCACUGAUCCAUGCUGUUUGAAAGUUACUAGUUCAGCCAUAGGAUCUAAAAAAGUCUCAGAUCUAAAUCGUUCUCUAAGUCCCCUUGCAUACACCUCCCAAGUCAACAAUGGUAACCCUCCAUGCCUACGUACAAAGAAAUGAUGCCAAUCUAGUGCUCUCCCUUCAAGAUGCAGCAUAACCACCCUAAUUUUUCCGUGGUCACCCACACCCUCAGCCUCAAAAUAUUGUUCCAAUUUUGACCACCAUCCCCUAAAAUUAUCUCCAUCAAAAUGAGGACAAUCAACCCGAAAAGAAGAAUGCUCAACCUCAGCUACACCCCCCCGAGAAGACAGGCUCGAAUGACCAAAAUCAUGCAUAGGAGACACUACUAAGGGUUCCUUUGCUGGAAACCCAGGAGGAGAACCUAAAACUCCUUUUCCCUUCCCGAUCACUGAACCCGAGACAGCCCCUGGUAGAUGCUGACCAAAGUAUUGUUCAAAUAAAGACUGGAUCUCCGAACGAAGCUCCGAUCGUACUUCAGAACGUACCUCUGUUUUAAUUCCUUCCUGAAAUUCUUUUAAUCGCGCAUCAAUUUGAGCAUCCAACUGAGUGAGCUCUAUUUGCAUUUGCGAAAACUCCCCUUGCAAUGUGCCUAAUUCCCGCUGCAUUCUGGUGGUUACUCCAUCCCCGGCCAUGAGAAUCGACGGCUCUGAUACCUUUGUUGUGGAGUGAGAUCUGAAAAGAAAGCAAAAGAGAAAUAGGGAGGAAGAAGAAGAAAUUGAGAGAAAUAGAAGAGAGAAGUCAGCAGAAGAAUACUUGCUUUUUUAUUUCAUAACCUCCAAUCGAUACUGUUUUGGUGUAUAUAGAAACCAACUAACAGAAUUCAACAAUAAGGUCUAAACACAUCGUUUUAGAAACAUUAUAAAAUGCACCGUAUAACUAAACUAAAACAAUUAUAAAACGCAGCGUUUAAGACUCAAACAAUUAAAACAAUUAUAAUGAAAAUGUAGAUAAAAUGACCGUUAGCUGCUGCCAUAACAAUGAAAUAGAAAUGGUUUUUCAAGAAAAAUUUUGAUUUAAGUAUUAAAGGAGAACGGCACCGUUUUGAGGUAAAGCCAUCAGUGCCAAAACGAUGUCGUGUAAGGCUACCCGCGUGAGACCCGACUCGUUUUCUCAGGAUCCCGUGUUUUUACUUUUAAUGGUCCAUUUUCGCAAUUGGUCCUUCGAUUUUUAGAAGCGUGUUUAAAUCAAUUUUUUUGUUUCUUUUAAAUUUGGCCGCAUGCUUUAUUUUUGUUUCAUUUCGAUCCUUAUUAAAACGCAGUAUUUUGGGGAAAAGGGUAAUUUCCCUUUUGAUCCCCCUCUGUUAUGUGCGUGUUCAAUGGGGUUCGCAUAUUUGUGUUUAUUUCGAAUUUGCUCUUAAAUUUUUGCCUGAAUUUCAAAUUAGUCAUUCUUUUUAUUUUUGUAUUAUUAUUAUUAUUAUUAUUAUUAUUAUUAUUAUUAUUAUUGUUAUUGUUAUUAUUAUCAUCAUCAUCAUCAUCAUCAUCAUCGUCGUCGUCGUCAUCGUCAUCAUCAUCAUCAUCAUCAUCAUCAUCAUCAUCAUCAUCAUCAUCAUCAUCAUCAUCAUCAUCAUCAUCAUCAUCAUCGUCAUCAUGUAUAUCUUUAAUGCCAAAUUUUAUUAUAUAUACAUGCAUACAUUUUUGUAAUAUUUAUGUACAUAUUUUUUAUAAUUUAUAUAUAUACGUACACUUUUUUAAAAUUAUUAUAAAUACAUUUUUUUGCAUAUUUCAUGUUUUUAUAGACAUAUAAAUACUUAUAUACAUGCGUAUUUUGAUACAUAUAUAUACAUAUUUUCAUAAUUUCCUUACAUGUUAUACUUAUACAUUUUUUAUUUUUGUAAAUACAUAUACAUAUAUUUUAAUAUACACAUGUGUAUGUACAUUUCAUGUUUUUUCAUAUCUAUAUGUUUUUUUUACAUAUUUCAUAACUUCAAAAUAUACAUGCAUACACAUACUCUAUAUUUUUAUAUAUAUAUAUAUAUAUUUCAACUCAUACACAUACUUAUGUGCACAUAUGUAUGUACUUAUAUUUAUAUAUAUUUCCUAAUUUUAAAACAUAUAUACAUAUAUAUUCUUCUUGUUUUUAUAAUUUUACGUAUAUACAUAUAUAUAUAUAUUUUAUUUCUUUCACGAUUUCGUUGUUUCGCACGGUUUACUUCUUUGUCUUUAUGUCCAUUUUAUUCAAAUAGCUUGUCUACUUAUUGAGUUGUUUUUAUUUUUCAUUGGUUGUUGCUCGUGCUACUCUCAUUUGCAUCACUGUAUUUAUCAUUGCUUGUCUUGCACGUCAACGAUACAAUUUAUUUUCGCAUUUUUAUGACUUCGUGUUUUAUUUUACUCGUUACAUCAAAAUUUGUUUCGAAUAAAUAACAUUUCGUGUUUUGAGAUUCGGGAAAGUUGUACCCUAACUUAGGGGGUUUCGAUUUCCUCAAUAAAUCCAAAUACACGAAUUUUCUCAAACAUUUUUUGAUAAUCUCGGGAACUAAUAAAAGAUUGUGUUCUAACUUACGGAAUAUGGUCUCUUCUAAAACUCGAGAUAAUUAAAUUUUUUUCAAAUAAAUAUUUCGGCAUUCAUUCUCGUAUCGGGAAUUUUAAACAUUGCGUCCUAACUUACGGGACAUAACUUUCUUUCUCGCUUAACGUGAAAAUAAGUCUGUGUCUCAAAAAUCCACAAUAUUUAUCUCAAGUUACAUGUUAGUCAUUAUUGUUUGAAAUGUUACAUUUUAGUCACUUACAUUAACAUUUUUUUACGAAAUUAUCGCUCUGCCGUUAAAAUUUGUUAUUUCUCAAACGAUAGGCCAAUAUGACAGUUAAAAUGAGUUUUAAAUAUUAACGAUAGAGUGACCAUUUUCUUUAUAAAACGAUAACAAAAGUAAUUAAAAAUAACAUUUUAAAUGGAAGUAAUUAAAAUGUAGCCUAAAUCAAAUAAAAAUGUUUAUUUGGAUAGUUUACCUUAUUUCUUUUUUUUAAUUUAUCAACACACCGUAGUUAAGUUCCAGCCAAGUCAACUAUGAAGCCUAGUCAACAAUCAAAAGCAGAUAUUUGGCUGAAAAUAAUAAAAUCAUUAUUGAGUGCCUCAAUCAUUCAUUUGCCUUCCUUCCCCUCAACCAUUCAAGCUUUGCUCUAGAAAUUCAAUUAUGGCGGAAACGUUUCUGUUCAAUAUUGCAGAAAGGGUUCUCGCCAAAAUUGGCAAUCUCUCUGUAGACGAAGUUCGCUUGGCGUUUAAUGUCAAAACCGAUCUGAAAAAGCUGGAGGACACCAUGAUCAGCAUUAAAGCUGUGCUCUUGGAUGCCGAGCGGCAACAGCACCAAAAUGAAAAGCUGUGCCUCUGUAUGUGGAAGCUCGGAGACAUCUUUUACGAUGCUGAGGACGUUAUUGACGAUUUCAAGUGUGAAGCUCUCUGGAAACAGGACGCCAUCAAUCAUCCCGACAUCAACAACUUAAAGGUGCGACUUUUAGGUUCCUGUUGUUUGCCUCUUUCAUUCUAUUUAAAAAUGAGUCAUAAAAUCAAAGACAUCAAUGGGAGACUAGGCGAACUUGCCACUGAGUGGAAAAGCUUUGAUCUAAGACAGUGUAGCGACAACCGACAUGUUUUUCGCAGAGAGACCAUCUCUUUUGUGGAUUCUUCUGAUGUUAUUGGUAGAGAUGAGGAUAAAAAGAACAUUAUUAGUAUGUUGAUGAAACCAAGUGAGGCUCGAAAUGUCCCUGUCAUUCCCAUUGUUGGAAUUGGGGGUUUAGGAAAAACCACGCUCGCUCAAUUAGUUUACAAUGAUGAUCGAGUUACUAGCCUUUUUCCUUUGAAGAUAUGGAUCUGUGUUUCUGAGGAAUUUGAUCUUUCUAGAUUGCUCAGGCUGAUUAUUCAGUCUGUAAAUACAGGAGAAAGAUGUGAUGAUUCAACCCUUGACGCCUUGCAAGCUCGUUUGAGAAGCCUUUUGACUGAUAAGAAGUUCUUGCUCGUCCUGGAUGAUGUGUGGAAUGAAAAUAAAGCAAAAUGGGUUGAGUUAAGAAAUUUGUUGAGAUCAAUAGAUGGCUUGCCUCAAAGCAAAAUAAUCGUGACUACUCGGAGUUUGAAGGUUUCCUCGAUAAUGAGUUCAAUUUGCCCUUAUGAAUUGAAAGGUCUUUCUUUUGAAGACUGUUUGACGUUGUUUACAAAAUGGGCUUUUAAUGAUGGUGAUGAGAGACAUUAUCCAAAUCUCAUUAGAAUCGGGGAGGAGAUUGUGAAAAAAUGCAAAGGGGUUCCUUUGGCAGUAAGAACAUUGGGAAGCCUACUGUUUCAGAAAACGGAUGAAUCUGAUUGGAUCUAUAUAAGAGAGAGUGAAAUAUGGAGAGUUGAGCAACAUGAAAACGAUAUUUUACCAGUGUUGAAGUUGAGUUACAAUCAUUUGCCAUCUCAUUUGCAACGAUGUCUUGCUUUUUUGUCCUUGUACAAAAAGGAUGAGAUCUAUUUUAGUUAUAGAGUUAUCAAUCUUUGGAUGGCAAAUGGACUCCUUGAGCAUCCAAAGCAAAACCAAGAGUGGGAGGAUGUUGGCAAACGGUAUUUGAAUGAAUUACUGUCAAGGUGCCUCAUCCAAAUGGAUCAGGAUUAUGGGUUGAUUUUUACCUUCAAAAUGCAUGAUCUGGUACAUGAUCUUGCAUUAGAUGUGUCUCAAAAAGAAUGUAAAACAGUGAAUUCGGAAACAGAAACGGUUGAUGAAAAUGUUCGCCAUUUAUUAUUAUGUGAUGAGAAGUUGGUUGGAGUUCCACGUGUUUUGGAGGAAAUGAAAAAUGUUCGAACAGUAAUCAUCCAAGAUGCUUCGAAGGAAUCAAAGACUACUCAUGAAUCACUUAUAAAUCUAUGUCUCUCCAAUUUCAAGUAUCUACGAGCAUUAGAAUUAAGGAAGUCACCAUUGAUGGCUUUACCAAAUUCCAUUGGUACCUUGAAGCACUUACGAGACCUUGACUUGGUCGGAUGUAGUAGUAUACGUGAACUCCCGAGGUCUUUCGAUAAGCUUCGCAGCUUGCAAUCGUUAAAUUUGGGAGGUACUAGUUUGAAGCAGUUGCCUGACAGCGUGCAAAGGUUGAUUGAGCUUAGACAUCUAGUAAUAACCAUUAAAGCUACGCAUUUGAAAGAAAUACGAGCAGGAUGUUGGACUUCUCUUCAAUACUUGGAAUUGAGGAGCUGUAUGGAAUUAAAAUGUUUACCUGAAGGAAUGCAGUAUCUGAAGUCACUUCGGACACUUGUCCUGGGUGGUUGUGAUAAACUUGUCUCAUUGCCACGGAGCCUGAAACUCCUAACCAAGUUGGAACACCUUUAUAUAAAUUUUUGCGCGAGCAUGAAUUUGAAAAUGGAACCAGAAGAGGAAGAAGACAAAGACCUUCAGUUGAUCCUUAAAACUCUCUCGCUCUUCGGAUUAGAUGCCUUAAGAGAUUUGCCACGAUUGCUUCUUCAAGGAUCUUCUUGCACUUUGCAGCAAUUACGAAUUAGGGGGUGUCCAAACUUGUCCGUUCUACCAGCAUGGCUACCGAAUCUCACUUCUCUUCAAGAACUUGAGAUUGUUAAUUGCAUAAAAUUGUCAGCUCAACCAGAGGGAAUAGACCGCCUCAGCAACCUUAGAGAAUUGACAAUUCACUUAUGUCCGGAGUUGAGCAAAAGAUACAGAGAAAAUGGGGGUGAAGAUUGGCACAAAAUUGCUCACAUCCAAAAGGUUGUUAUUACGGAUGAAGAAUGAGGUAUGUGGUAAAAUUUUAAUUUCUCUAUCAGAUUCGAUUCCAGAUUAUCUUUCCCUUUAGAGUAGAGUAGAGACGUGCCUUUUGUCCAGAAUAGUCCGUUCUACCAGCAUGGUUUUGGUUAGAAAUUUGGUAUGUUUAAAGUUAAUUAAGUACUCAUUGUGUUUGGAAACAUUGCAUGUACGAAAUGGGAAGAUGGAGAUGGAAGAAUGAAGCAGAGGUUGAGGCAGGGCAGGGAAGACUUUUACUUUAUUUGCAUUUGGAUUUCAGUUGUAAUUCUAAUAAGUGAGCUUUUGCUUUGGAUAUUUCAGACUCUUGCUUAAUGCCUUCAUGCCAUGGAUUGUAAUGUUUGUUUGAUAUGUAUCAACUUUUAGUUUUAUGCAUAUUUAUGUUUUCUCAUGCUUUAUUUGUGUUUAUGAUUUCCUAUACUUUCUUCUUCUUUUUUGUUCAUUAGUAUCAAUCGAGGGGCAAUUUAAAACAUUCUUAAAUUUGAUAUUUAAAUUCGAGUUCAAAUAAUAUUAAAAAAAUUACAUUUCUUUUAACUUGUAUAAGAUAUUCAAUUGCAAAGUCAUAUGUAAGUAGAGAAAAAUUGUCUCUGAACAUAUAAUUUAAUACCCAAUGCACACUCAAUUAAAUUUGAAAUUUUUAGUCCUGCAAGAUUUCGAGGUUUUUUUUUUUCCUUUUUGGUGAAUUGCAUGUUGGAGUUAGCAAGUUGCAAGACAUGUUAGUAAUUUUGUAUCGUUAAUAAUCAAGAUAGUAAAAUAUAAACAAAUAUUAAUUCAUUAAUAAUUUAAUAUUUUAAUUAAUAUUAAAUUAUAUUAUGUGGUCGGAUCAUAAUAUGAGAAAGACAAUUUUUAUCAAUAGAUAAUCUAAAUAGUCCGCGUUCUAAUCAAAAUUGAUGCGGAUAACUCCCUGAAGAUAUAGACAUAGAUGUCAUUGUCUGAAUUGACAAUAGUCGGACAUGAUCCAAGUUGAAUUUAUCAUAAAUCUUUUUAUGUAUUUAUUCAUUUGUGAUAUUCAUAGUGUGUUAUACCUUAAUCCUGAGUGGAUGAUAGAUUAUAUAUGCGUGACUUGUAUGCUUUAAUAUAAAUGAAAGCCCGAGUUUAAAUUGAUAAAAAAACCGAAAGGUAGUAUGUCAGAUAUACUACUUCUACAUGAUAUAGCACCAUUCCACAAUAAUGGAAUUCAUAGCCCUCUAAAGACAAACGAUAUUCUCUCAUUAACAUUACAUUGUUGAUAAAAAAAAACGUGACUACGGGUCAUUUGUCAUAAGACAAAUGAUUUAAUUAUUAUAUGUUAAUAAUUACUUUUUUUAUAUCAAAAGAUGUAAUGGAAAGUAUGAGAUAAGAUAGAAUCAUACAAGAAGAACAUAUUUUAUCUCAAAAAGAUUAAAGAUAUCCUAUAAGGGUAAUACACUUAUGACAAGGUUAUUAGACGGGCACUAAAUAAAGUAGUUUUGUAAUGAUAUACAAUAAGAUAGAGUUCAGUCAUUAUACUAUAGUGGAAUGACCCAUGAUUAAAUAAGUUGUAAUUAAUAGGUGAAGAGCUAAAACUUAAUUACAAAUUAUUUGAGCUCUAAUUACAUAUGUCUAAUAAGUCUCUUCUCUAGCUCGAGAUAACCCGAAACGAAUUACAUAUAGAAUUGAUAUAUUGUAGAAUGAACUAAAAUGAUAAGUAAAGAAAUAGAUCGUAUAUAUCACUAUCCGUAGUAAAUGUCUUUUCUCCCACUAAAUACAAAAGAUAACUUAGAAAUUAUUUUUUUUUAAAUUAUUUUUUAAUUAAUUGUAAUUAAAUAAUUAAAGUUCAAAGAAGGAAUUAAAUUACUUGGUUUGAAUAAGACAAUUAAAUUAAUUUUCUUAUAAAUUCUAAGACAGUAAAAUUGUCAUGACUUUAAUGAAAUUAGAGUUGAAUUAAGAAAAUAAUUAAUUGAAAAUUUAUUUUAGUUAAGUUAAUUAAUUAAAUUAAAUUAAUAAUAUUUUAGAUGAUAGAAAAUAGUUAUUUGAUUGGAUAAAUUAUAAAUGUUGGAUAAAAGUUCGAUAACACAUAUAAUUAUAUCCAAUAUACAAAAAGCUCAAAUAGACCUAAAUAAUACAAAGGGGUGGUAAACCCUAGUGUAUGCUAGGGCAUGUUGCCACCCCCUAGUUCUACUUCAUGUAGAACUCGUAUUUUUAUUAAAAUAUUAUUAUUUAAUUAGACAUUGUUCAAACAAAACUCUUGUAUCAUUUUUCUAUAAAUAAGAACUACGAGUAAACCUAUGAACAUACUUUGCAUACACUUUUGAGCAUCAAUAUUCUAUCUAAAAAUAGUGAUAAUUUUUUAAGAAUAAAUUCUAUUUUUCAUAAGAGUACUCAUAGUUUUUAAUUUAUAGAAAGAAUUAACUUUCCAACUGAAAGUUAAAUGAAAAUUUCAUUUUGUGCACUAAUUUGAUUUGUUUGUGCUUCCUUUUAAAAAGUGAGUUGUGCCUCGGGUAAGACUUUUUUAGCUUAGACCCGACCCAAAUUAGCAAAAAGACAAAAAAAUCUACUAUUUUCUUAUUUUUUUCCUAUUAUUUUCUCAUUAUUUUGUUACAAUUUCACUAUUAUGUUACUAUUUUUGUUGUUAUUGUUUGGAUAUAUUGUAUAACUCUUUGUUUAUUGUUAAUUAUGUUACUACUUUUGAGGCAUUUGCUUGAUAAGUUACACCUAUCUUAGUGUUAUUUAAGUAUAUAUUUUUUAAUUUGUUAAGAAAUAUUUAUUUUAAUGUUUUUAGUAUUUUUUAUAUACUAUAUUUUUUAUUUUUUAUAUACAAAAUAAUAUAAAAAAUUAAUUCAGCAGAACCGAGCAUGAGCUUUAGUACUUUUAUCCUGUUCGAACUUAGGCAAAAAUUUAAACCCAUUUUUCGGAUCGAAUUGAACUUGGAUCUAGUAAAUAAGUCUAAAAUUUGGAUAAGACAAGACCUAGCCCAUAUAUUGGUCUGUAACAGAAAAUGUUUAGUGGUCACUGUUUUGUUAUUUUUUAAAAGUUGAUUGACUAAGUUGAAACCUGAAUGAUUGUUUUGUCAAUUACUCUAAAAUUGAGUGAUGAUCGGUGUAAUUUACCGUAUUUAUUUCUUUCAUGUAAGAAGGAUUUUUCCGUUUUUCGAAUUAUAUGCGCCCCAGCUCAGUCAAGUAAAGUCAAUCAAAAUGACAGAUAUUUGGCAGAAACUUCGAUUUUGCUCAAAAAAUUAUUUUCACCUGAACAAGAAGGUUUGUUUUAUUUUUUUUUUCCGAUUUUGGGCUAUAACAUGAAAUUCUUUGUUUGAUUUUCUACCACAAAGAUAUUCUUUGUUUGCUUAGAAUGUGUUACACACUAAGCUCAUUAGCUUAUCUUUUGUUUGUUCCUCUCAAGUAAUCAGCAAACUUAGGAAGAGUUGGGUAGCAGGAGCUCGGAUUAAAAUAUUGUUUUUAAAUUUGUUUAAGUUAAAUUAUUAUUUUUGAACUACUUUAUCCUAUUUAGAAUAUUUAUUCCAAAUUGCAAGAUGUUAAAUUUCAAAAUCAAACUACGGUUUUCGAAACUCUGAUCAACUUAAAUUUUCUGUUGCAAAACUAAAUGAUUUUAUAAGUGUUGUUUUGCAAUAAAAAUGAAGUAACUUAAUAAGGCGUUUUUCUCUAGAAAUUGAAAAUAUUAUACAAAGUUUUGUUUUAUGUUACACUUUCGAAUUUUAGUUAUGGUUUUAAAACAAACGUAUGUAAUUUCUCAAAAUUUGACCAUAACGUCUAGGUCGGGUAUGAUGUGUUAUAUAUUCUUUAUUAGUUUAUAUAUUUACUUAAUUUAUUAUUAUUAUUAACUUAUUUAAUUGUAUAAGUUUUUUACACAUUCUUGUUUUAGUUUAGAUACAAUAAUUAAUACCCAUAAUCAUAUCUCAUUCUUAAUAUUUUAAUUUAUUUUACCCCUUUUCCAAUUAGGUCUUAAUUUAAUUAAAACACACUAUUUUCAAAUUAAAUAUCGUAAUCAAGUUUUGUUUUAGAUUAAUUAAUAUAAUAAUACAUGAUUAUUUUAUUUUAAUGCUUUAAUUAAUUUUUUUAACCUUAAUUUUGAUAUCCGUUUCAACCCCACGAUUAAUUAUCUGAUUCUUCUAACCCUUAUAUUUUGGGUAUUUCAAAUAAUAUUAAACCUUGAAUGCAAAGUGAUAAUAUGUCUAAUUUACAUGUUUAUUAUGUUUAAUUUUGAUAAAUUCUUGAAUGAGAUGUUACUAAUUUUAAACCUAUUAAUUAAUUUUUAAUUAGGUGUAAAAGCAAACCCAAAAAAUAAAAAAAUGUGGGCUGUCAUAAAAGUUUUGAGUAAAAAACUAAACUAACCAUUAGUUUGAAAAAAAUAAAGUAACAAUGGUGCUAAAAAAAAAUUGAAGAAAAGAAAAAGAGAAUUCACCUAAUACUUACUAUAUAAACUGUGGCAUGGUUCACUUACCCACCUUAAAAUCCCACUAUCCAAUAUAAAAUAAAUUAGUGGUAUAAUUUAAUUAUAUCAAUAAUUAAUUGAUUAGUUCUAUAAUUUAAUCAAAUUCAAGUAUAUGAUUCAAUUAAUUACAAGAUUACAAUCAUCAAUAUAGAGAUAUACAACUGAUAAAUACUCCUAAAAUUACUUAUACACCAUGACAUAUACAUUCAUAUAUCUGAUUGAUUCAAUAAUGAUUUUACGAUUAGUCAUAUAUUUUUAAAUUACUUGUACAUCAUUAAUUCUACAUAAAUUACUUGAUUUAUGGUUUAUUUUAAUUUAAUAUAAUAUUCUGAAAAGUUUAUAAAAUAAUAAAUGAUAAAUAAUAUUAAACUUAAUUAGUAUGAAAAGUGAUAAUACAUCCAAUUUACAUGUUUAUCAAGCUUAAUUUUGAUAAAUUCUUGAAUGAGAUGCUACUAAUUUUGGACUUAUUAUUUGAUUUUUGAUUAGGUGCAAAAGUAAACUCGAAAAGUUAAAAAAAGUUAAAAAUGCAAGCUGUUGUAAAAGUUUUGAGCUUUUAUUUUUGGAUUUAUUUGAAAAAUGGAUACUUUUAAUUUUAUUUUAUUUUUAAAUAACUCUUCAAUAUUAGAUAGAUGAGUAUAAGUAGUUUUAGGCGAGGUACAAGGGAGGGAGAAUGGAAUGGGGAAUUGAACUUCGUCCCUGAUCUCAAUUCUGUUAUAACUCUUUUCUUUACUUGUGUAUUAUUGCAUCAUUUACCUUUUUGUUUUAAGCUGAUAAAUAACCCUAUAGAUAGCUGUGAGAUAUGAACCUGCAUUUCAAAACUUUCGUUCCAAUGUUUAUUGUUUUUUCGGUUUAGGAGAUAGACUUCAUAGUCUCACAAAAUUAUAUUGACAUCAAGUUAAAAAGAAUUUGUUGAUUCAGUAUUGAUAAGCAUACAGUUGGAAAUAUCGAGUUGAUCUUUUAUCGUAUUCAAUCUACUCAAGAACACAUUGGCAUGUCCAAUAUUAAGUAGUUAGUUAGAUUUUGUUAGGAGGAAAUUGCAAUCAGUUUUGAAACGGUUGGGCCAUUUUAGUUCGCAAGGUUAUCGGAGUUAAAUCGUAGACUCGUGUUUCGUAGUUAUUCAUUCAAUAAAGGUUAGUUGUUGGACAUUCUUGCAAUAAAUUUACACAUAAAAAGGUUAAUAGUCCAAUAUAUCCUCGAUUAUUAUAAUUGACUUAUCGAUUAAAGAAGAAAACUUGCUAUUAAAAUACUUAUCGUAAAUUUAGUUAUAUAUGAACCCUAAAUAAAAUACUUCUUAUACCCAUUAAAACCAAACCAUUUAUUUAUCUAACUUAUAUUUAUUUUGGUAAAAGAAGACUUAUAUUUAUUUACUUUAUUCCUAAAACUUCAAACAAACCCAUCUUUAUCUUUUAAGUUUCAAAAAGAGGCUUGAAUUUUAUUUUUCAACCAUUUAAUCUAAAAAGAUAUUUUCUCAAUCCAAAACAAAGAUUUAAAUUAUAUUACCAUAUAUAAUUUAUGAAUUUAAUUUAAAUAAUAUUUUUAAUCUAUAUAUACCUUUUAAUGGGUAAACUAUCAAAAUAAUUACUUUUGUUUACCUCAAGUUACAUUUUAGUCACUAUUACUUGAAAUGUUACCAUUAACAUUUUUUUGCGAAAUAAUUACUCUACCGUUAAGAUUUGUUAUUUCUCAAACAAUAGUCCAAUAUGACAAUUAAAAUGGGUUUUAAAUGUAACAAUAGAGUGAUUGUUUUCUUUAUAAAAUGAUAACAAAAGUAACCAAAAAUAAUAUUUUAAACAUAAUAAUUAAAAUCUACCCUAAAUCAAAUAAAAAUGUUUAUUUUGAUAGUUUACUUCUUUCUUUCUUUAAUUUAUCAACACAGCGUAGUUAAGUUCCAGCCAAGUCAACAAUCAAAAGCAGAUAUUUGGUUGAAAAAAAUAAAAUCAUUAUUGAAUGCCUCAAUCAUUCAUUUGCCUUCCUUCCCCUCAAUCAUUCUAGCUUUGCUCUAGAAAUUCAAUUAUGGCGGAAACGUUUCUGUUCAAUAUUGCAGAAAGGGUUCUCGCCAAAAUUGGCAAUCUCUCUGUAGACGAAGUUCGCUUGGCGUUUAAUGUCAAAACCGAUCUGAAAAAGCUGGAGGACACCAUGAUCAGCAUUAAAGCUGUGCUCUUGGAUGCCGAGCGGCAACAGCACCAAAAUGAAAAGCUGCGCCUCUGUAUGUGGAAGCUCAGAGACAUCUUUUACGAUGCUGAGAACGUUAUUGACGAUUUCAAGUGUGAAGCUCUCCGGAAACAGGACGCCAUCAAUCAUCCCGACAUCAACAACUUAAAGGUGCGACUUUUAGGUUCCUGUUGUUUGCCUCUUUCAUUCUCUUUAAAAAUGAGUCAUAAAAUCAAAGACAUCAAUGGGAGACUAGGCGAACUUGCCACUGAGUGGAAAAGCUUUGAUCUAAGACAGUGUAGCGACAACCGACAUGUUUUUCGCAGAGAGACCAUCUCUUUUGUGGAUUCUUCUGAUGUUAUUGGUAGAGAUGAGGAUAAAGAGAACAUUAUUAGUAUGUUGAUGAAACCAAGUGAGGAUCGAAAUGUCCCUGUCAUUCCCAUUGUUGGAAUUGGGGGUUUAGGAAAAACCACGCUCGCUCAAUUAGUUUACAAUGAUGAUCGAGUUACUAGCCUUUUUCCUUUGAAGAUAUGGAUCUGUGUUUCUGAGAAAUUUGAUCUUUCUAGAUUGCUCAGGCUGAUUAUUCAGUCUGUAAGUACAGGAGAAGAUGUGAUGAUUCAACACUUGACGCCUUGCAAGCUCGUUUGAGAAGCCUUUUGACUGAUAAGAAGUUCUUGCUCGUCCUGGAUGAUGUGUGGAAUGAAAAUAAAGCAAAAUGGGUUGAGUUAAGAAAUUUGUUGAGAUCGACGAAUGGAUUUUCUCCAAGCAAAAUUAUUGUCACCACUCGGAGUUUGAACGUGGUCUCAAUAAUGAGUUCAAUUCCCCCUUAUAUUUUGGAAGGUCUCCCUCUUGAAGACUGUUUGACCUUGUUUACAAAAUGGGCUUUUAAUGAUGGUGAUGAGAGACAUUAUCCAAAUCUCAUUAGAAUCGGGGAGGAGAUUGUGAAAAAAUGCAAAGGGGUUCCUUUGGCAGUAAGAACAUUGGGAAGGCUACUGUUUCAGAAAACGGAUGAAUCUGAUUGGAUCUAUAUAAGAGAGAGUGAAAUAUGGAG
rnacentral:lncRNA from 1 species